GGGGAAUAUUGGACAAUGGGCGCAAGCCUGAUCCAGCCAUGCCGCGUGAGUGAUGAAGGCCUUAGGGUUGUAAAGCUCUUUCAGUAGGGAAGAUAAUGACGGUACCUACAGAAGAAGCCCCGGCUAACUUCGUGCCAGCAGCCGCGGUAAUACGAAGGGGGCUAGCGUUGUUCGGAUUUACUGGGCGUAAAGCGCACGUAGGCGGAUCGUUAAGUCAGAGGUGAAAUCCCGGAGCUCAACUCCGGAACUGCCUUUGAUACUGGCGAUCUCGAGUCCGGAAGAGGUAAGUGGAACUCCUAGUGUAGAGGUGGAAUUCGUAGAUAUUAGGAAGAACACCAGUGGCGAAGGCGGCUUACUGGUCCGGAACUGACGCUGAGGUGCGAAAGCGUGGGGAGCAAAC
rnacentral:rRNA from 1 species